rnacentral:rRNA from 1 species
AUUGAACGCUGGCGGCAUGCCUUACACAUGCAAGUCGAACGGCAGCACGGGUGCUUGCACCUGGUGGCGAGUGGCGAACGGGUGAGUAAUACAUCGGAACAUGUCCUGUAGUGGGGGAUAGCCCGGCGAAAGCCGGAUUAAUACCGCAUACGAUCUACGGAUGAAAGCGGGGGACCUUCGGGCCUCGCGCUAUAGGGUUGGCCGAUGGCUGAUUAGCUAGUUGGUGGGGUAAAGGCCUACCAAGGCGACGAUCAGUAGAUGGUCUGAGAGGACGACCAGCCACACUGGGACUGAGACACGGCCCAGACUCCUACGGGAGGCAGCAGUGGGGAAUUUUGGACAAUGGGCGAAAGCCUGAUCCAACAAUGCCGCGUGUGUGAAGAAGGCCUUCGGGUUGUAAAGCACUUUUGUCCGGAAAGAAAUCCUUGGCUCUAAUACAGUCGGGGGAUGACGGUACCGGAAGAAUAAGCACCGGCUAACUACGUG